UCCAAUGUGGUGUAGUGGCUAACAUUGCUGUCUUUCAUAGAGCAGCCGCCAAAAUGAAUUUUCACAGCAGCCCGGGGUUCGAUUCCCCGCAUUGGAA
rnacentral:tRNA from 2 species